rnacentral:lncRNA from 1 species
GCGACAGCUAUUCAAAGCUUUUGGGGGUCUACCUUUAUAUUCGUUGCUCCCUCAGAGGUGGAGAAAAAUCUCAAGGAAAAGUACUGCAAGCAAGAGGAGUAACUGUUGGAUGGGGGUCUAAAACGAAUGAGUGGAGAGAUUCAACACUGGGAUUACAGGAUCUCACUCUAACUUGGAAUCAAUUCUUACGGAUAAAAAGAUCAAACUCGGAAUCCAAAAUCUACAAGACUAUUCCGAGAAACAUGAGCUGUACAGCUGUAGAUUACAGCAAUAAAAACAGAAUAAUGGGUAACAAUUACUGAGCACAUACU